rnacentral:rRNA from 1 species
ACGUAGGGGGCGAGCGUUGUCCGGAAUUACUGGGCGUAAAGGGCGUGUAGGCGGCCGAUUAAGUCCGGAGUGAAAGUCCUGCUUUCAAUGUGGGAAUAGCUUUGGAAACUGGUUGGCUUGAGUGCGGAAGAGGUAAGUGGAAUUCCCAGUGUAGCGGUGAAAUGCGUAGAGAUUGGGAGGAACACCAGUGGCGAAGGCGACUUACUGGGCCGUAACUGACGCUGAGGCGCGAAAGCGUGGGGAGCGAACAG